rnacentral:rRNA from 1 species
UACGUAGGGUGCGAGCGUUAAUCGGAAUUACUGGGCGUAAAGUGUGCGCAGGCGGUCGUUCAAGUCGCGUGUGAAAGCCCCCGGCUCAACUGGGGAGGGUCACGCGAUACUGAUCGACUCGAAGGCAGGAGAGGGUAGUGGAAUUCCCGGUGUAGUGGUGAAAUGCGUAGAUAUCGGGAGGAACACCAGUGGCGAAGGCGACUACCUGGCCUGUUCUUGACGCUGAGGCGCGAAAGCUAGGGGAGCAAACGGG